GCAGAAAGCUGGACAGACACCACAAGAGCGAGUGGAAGAAGUCCUUAGUGGCAAGCUCUUUGACAGAUUGAGAGAUGAAAAUCCAGAUUUUAGAGAGAAAAUUAUAGCAAUCAACAGCGAACUCACCCAACCUAAACUGGCUCUCAGUGAAGAAGAUAAAGAGGUGAUCAUAGAGUCUACCAAUAUUAUAUUCCACUGUGCAGCUACAGUAAGGUUUAAUGAAAAUUUAAGAGAUGCUGUUCAGUUAAAUGUGAUUGCAACGCGACAGCUUAUUCUCCUUGCACAACAAAUGAAGAAUCUGGAAGUGUUCAUGCAUGUAUCAACAGCAUAUGCCUACUGUAAUCGAAAGCAUAUUGAUGAAGUAGUCUAUCCACCACCUGUGGAUCCCAAGAAGCUGAUUGAUUCUUUAGAGUGGAUGGAUGAUGGCCUAGUAAAUGAUAUCACGCCAAAAUUGAUAGGAGACAGACCUAAUACAUACAUAUACACAAAAGCAUUGGCAGAAUAUGUUGUACAACAAGAAGGAGCAAAACUAAAUGUGGCAAUUGUAAGGCCAUCGAUUGUUGGUGCCAGUUGGAAAGAACCUUUUCCGGUAAGUUGUUAGAAACCUUUAUAAAUAACUGGAGUUGAGAAUUUUAAGUUGUAAGUCUAUAUAAAAAGAGCUGGCAGUUCUUUAAGAACAGGUAUUAUUUACUAAAGGUGAAUUACCAUAGCAAAGCUGUUUUGUGUUCAUAGAGUUAAUUUUAUUGUUACUUUCAUUUCUAUAAUGUGAUGCUGGGUAUAUAGAAAUGUAGAUCAACAUUUUAAAAAUCCUAAUUGGA
rnacentral:sRNA from 1 species